rnacentral:rRNA from 1 species
AUUGAACGCUGGCGGCAGGCUUAACACAUGCAAGUCGAGCGGAGAUGAGGUGCUUGCACCUUAUCUUAGCGGCGGACGGGUGAGUAAUGCUUAGGAAUCUGCCUAUUAGUGGGGGACAACAUUCCGAAAGGAAUGCUAAUACCGCAUACGUCCUACGGGAGAAAGCAGGGGAUCUUCGGACCUUGCGCUAAUAGAUGAGCCUAAGUCGGAGUAGUUAGUUGGUGGGGUAAAGGCCUACCAAGGCGACGAUCUGUAGCGGGUCUGAGAGGAUGAUCCGCCACACUGGGACUGAGACACGGCCCAGACUCCUGCGGGAGGUAGCCGUGGGGAAUAUUUGACAAUGGGGGAAACCCUGAUCCAGCCAUGCCGCGUGUGGGAAGAAGGCCUUAUGGUUGUAAAGCACUCUAAGCGAGGAGGAGGCUACUGAGACUAAUACUCUUGGAUAGUGGACGUUACUCGCAGAAUAAGCACCGGCUAACUCUGUGCCAGCAGCCGCCGUAA